rnacentral:rRNA from 1 species
CACGAAGGGGGCUAGCGUUGCUCGGAAUUACUGGGCGUAAAGAGCUCGUAGGUGGUUUGUCGCGUUGUUCGUGAAAUCUCACGGCUUAACUGUGAGCGUGCGGGCGAUACGGGCAGACUAGAGUACUGCAGGGGAGACUGGAAUUCCUGGUGUAGCGGUGGAAUGCGCAGAUAUCAGGAGGAACACCGGUGGCGAAGGCGGGUCCUCUGGGCAGUAACUGACGCUGAGGAGCGAAAGCGUGGGGAGCGAACAGG